rnacentral:lncRNA from 1 species
UGCAGUAGAAUUUUUUGGAUGUUGCUGUUGGCGCUAGAAAUCGGUCAACCGAAUCCCCAGCGUCUGACACACGACCCGGGAGAAUCUGCUUAACUCCUGUUCGGGUGAUUGCCCUGGUGCGGUUCGCGCGGCGUGCCAGCCAAUCUGACCUGUUGAUUGGCAAGGAAGGAUACGUGUCAGAUCCAGAAGUCGCGAUCGGCUAGAUUUC